rnacentral:rRNA from 1 species
CAGUAGCCGCGGGAAUACGGAGGGGGCUAGCGUUGUUCGGAAUUACUGGGCGUAAAGCGCACGUAGGCGGCUUGGUAAGUUAGAGGUGAAAGCCCGGAGCUCAACUCCGGAAUUGCCUUUAAGACUGCCGAGCUAGUAGGUGAGAGAGGUAAGUGGAAUUCCGAGUGUAGAGGUGAAAUUCGUAGAUAUUCGGAAGAACACCAGUGGCGAAGGCGGCUUACUGGCUCAUUCUAGACGCUGAGGUGCGAAAGCGUGGGGAGCAAACAGGAUUAGAUACCCCUGUAGUCCCUGUCUCUUAUAC